rnacentral:rRNA from 1 species
GACGAACGCUGGCGGCGUGCUUAACACAUGCAAGUCGAACGAUGAAACCGCUUCGGUGGUGGAUUAGUGGCGAACGGGUGAGUAACACGUGGGCAAUCUGCCCUUCACUCUGGGACAAGCCCUGGAAACGGGGUCUAAUACCGGAUAACACUCUGUCCCGCAUGGGACGGGGUUGAAAGCUCCGGCGGUGAAGGAUGAGCCCGCGGCCUAUCAGCUUGUUGGUGGGGUAAUGGCCUACCAAGGCGACGACGGGUAGCCGGCCUGAGAGGGCGACCGGCCACACUGGACUGAGACACGGCCCAGACUCCUACGGGAGGCGGCAGUGGGGAAUAUUGCACAAUGGGCGAAAGCCUGAUGCAGCGACGCCGCGUGAGGGAUGACGGCCUUCGGGUUGUAAACCUCUUUCAGCAGGGAAGAAGCGAAAGUGACGGUACCUGCAGAAGAAGCGCCGGCUAACUACGUGCCAGCAGCCGCAGUAA